rnacentral:rRNA from 1 species
GUGGGGAAUCUUCCGCAAUGGGCGAAAGCCUGACGGAGCAAUGCCGCGUGAGUGAUGAAGGAAUUCGUUCCGUAAAGCUCUUUUGUUUAUGACGAAUGUGCAGGUUGUGAAUAAUGACUUGUAAUGACGGUAGUAAACGAAUAAGCCACGGCUAACUACGUGCCAGCAGCCGCGGUAAUACGUAGGUGGCGAGCGUUGUCCGGAAUUAUUGGGCGUAAAGAGCAUGUAGGCGGUUUUUUAAGUCUGGAGUGAAAAUGCGGGGCUCAACCCCGUAUGGCUCUGGAUACUGGAAGACUUGAGUGCAGGAGAGGAAAGGGGAAUUCCCAGUGUAGCGGUGAAAUGCGUAGAUAUUGGGAGGAACACCAGUGGCGAAGGCGCCUUUCUGGACUGUGUCUGACGCUGAGAUGCGAAAGCCAGGGUAGCGAACGGGAUUAGAAACCCCAGUAGUCC